GACAGAGGAGGCAAGCGUUGUCCGGACUUACUGGGCGUAAAGCGUCCGCAGGUGGUCGGGCAAGUGCCGUGUGAAAGCGCUCGGCUUAACUGAGCGAGGCCAUGGCAGACUGCUCGACUCGAGACCGGGAGAGGUCGGUGGAAUUGCCGGUGUAGUGGUGAAAUGCGUAGAGAUCGGCAGGAACACCCAAGGGGAAGCCAGCUGACUGGCCCGGUACUGACGCUGAGGCACGAAAGCGUGGGGAGCAAACAGG
rnacentral:rRNA from 1 species